rnacentral:rRNA from 1 species
AGAAUCAACGCUGGCGGCGUGCCUAACACAUGCAAGUCGCACGAGAAAGGGUAGCAAUACCUGAGUACAGUGGCGCACGGGUGAGUAACACGUGACUAAUCUACCCUCGAGUGGGGAAUAACUGAGAGAAAUCUUAGCUAAUACCGCAUAACACUUACGAGUCAAAGCAGCAAUGCGCUUGGGGAGGAGGUCGCGGCCGAUUAGCUAGUUGGCGGGGUAAUGGCCCACCAAGGCGAUGAUCGGUAUCCGGCCUGAGAGGGCGCACGGACACACUGGAACUGAAACACGGUCCAGACUCCUACGGGAGGCAGCAGUGGGGAAUUUUGCGCAAUGGGGGAAACCCUGACGCAGCAACGCCGCGUGGAGGAUGAAAUAUCUUGGUAUGUAAACUCCUUUCGAUGGGGAAGAUUAUGACGGUACCCAUAGAAGAAGCCCCGGCUAACUUCGUGCCAGCAGCCGCGGUAAUACGAGGGGGGCAAGCGUUGUUCGGAUUUAUUGGGCGUAAAGGGUGCGUAGGCGGUUUGAUAAGUCUGAUGUGAAAUCUCUGGGCUCAACCCAGAGUCUGCAUCAGAAACUGUCGGGCUUGAGUAUGGGAGAGGUGAGUGGAAUUUCCGGUGUAGCGGUGAAAUGCGUAGAUAUCGGAAGGAACACCUGUGGCGAAAGCGGCUCACUGGACCAUAACUGACGCUGAUGCACGAAAGCUAGGGGAGCAAACAGGAUUAGAUACCCUGGUAGUCCUAGCCCUAAACGAUGAUUGCUUGGUGUGGCAGGUACCCAAUCCUGCCGUGCCGAAGCUAACGCGAUAAGCAAUCCGCCUGGGGAGUACGGUCGCAAGGCUGAA